rnacentral:rRNA from 1 species
AGCGAACGCUGGCGGCAGGCUUAACACAUGCAAGUCGAACGCCCCGCAAGGGGAGUGGCAGACGGGUGAGUAACACGUGGGAACGUACCCUUUGGUUCGGAAUAACUUGGGGAAACUCAAGCUAAUACCGGAUAAGCCCUUAUGGGGAAAGGUUUACUGCCGAAGGAUCGGCCCGCGUCGGAUUAGCUAGUUGGGGAGGUAAUGGCUCAACAAGGCGAUGAUCAGUAGCUGGUCUGAGAGGAUGAUCAGCCACACUCGGGACUGAGACACGGCCCAGACUCCUACGGGAGGCAGCAGUGGGGAAUAUUGGACAAUGGGGGCAACCCUGAUCCAGCCAUGCCGCGUGAGUGAUGAAGGCCUUAGGGUUGUAAAGCUCUUUUACCCGGGACGAUAAUGACUGUACCGGGAGAAUAAGCCCCGGCUAACUUCGUGCCAGCAGCCGCCGUAA